rnacentral:tRNA from 1 species
GUAUUAUGUCAAUAAGGAAACUUCUAAUUUCCCCAAAAGCGGUUAAACUCCGUUUAUAUUCUA